AAUACAUAGCGUAAUGAAGCGAACCGGGGGAACUGAAACAUCUAAGUACCCCGAGGAAAAGAAAUCAACCGAGAUUCCCCCAGUAGCGGCGAGCGAACGGGGAGGAGCCCAGAGCCUGAAUCAGCAUGUGUGUUAGUGGAAGCGUCUGGAAAGGCGCGCGAUACAGGGUGACAGCCCCGUACACAAAAGCGCAUAUGCUGUGAGCUCGAUGAGUAGGGCGGGACACGUGGUAUCCUGUCUGAAUAUGGGGGGACCAUCCUCCAAGGCUAAAUACUCCUGACUGACCGAUAGUGAACCAGUACCGUGAGGGAAAGGCGAAAAGAACCCCGGCGAGGGGAGUGAAACAGAACCUGAAACCGUGUACGUACAAGCAGUGGGAGCCCCACCACUAAGCCAGUGGUGAACUCCACAUACGCAUCCUUUGCGGAAGGUGCGGUUAACGGAGCGUAAGCGACGUUCAACCUCAUAAAGAAGCAGAGGGGGCUUAGUGGUGGGGUGACUGCGUACCUUUUGUAUAAUGGGUCAGCGACUUAUAUUCUGUAGCAAGGUUAACCGCAUAGGGGAGC
rnacentral:rRNA from 1 species